AUUGAACGCUAGCGGGAUGCCUUACACAUGCAAGUCGAACGGAGUGGCGAACGGGUGAGUAAUGUAUCGGAACGUGCCCAGUAGCGGGGGAUAACUACGCGAAAGCGUAGCUAAUACCGCAUACUAUUGGAGCGGCCGCAAUCGGAAUAGCCAGUGGGGGGGGUAACGGCUCACCAAGGCGACGAUCCGUAGCUGGUUUGAGAGGAAGACCAGCCGCACUGGGACUGAGACGCGGGCACGACUCCUGCGGGAGGCCGCAGUGGAGAAUUUGGGAAAAUUGGGGAGACCCUGAUCCAGCCAUCCCGCGUGUGCGAGGAAGGCCUUAGGGUUGUGAAGCACUUUUGGCAGGAAAGCGGUACCUGCAGAAUAAGCACCGGCUAACUACGUGCCAGCAGCCGCGGUAAUAC
rnacentral:rRNA from 1 species